rnacentral:rRNA from 1 species
GAUCCUGGCUCAGGACGAACGCUGGCGGCGCGCCUAACACAUGCAAGUCGAACGAGCGAGAGAGAGCUUGCUUUCUCGAGCGAGUGGCGAACGGGUGAGUGACGCGUGAGGAACCUGCCUCAAAGAGGGGGAGAACAGUUGGAAACGACUGCUAAUACCGCAUAAGCCCACAGGUCGGCAUCGACCAGAGGGAAAAGGAGCAAUCCGCUUUGAGAUGGCCUCGCGUCCGAUUAG